rnacentral:tRNA from 1 species
AAGUAAAAUAAGCUAUAUAAGCUUUAAAAUUCAUAAUUUUAAAAAAGAUUUAAUCUUUUUACUA